GAGGAAUAAGCAUCGGCUAACUCCGUGCCAGCAGCCGCGGUAAUACGGGGGAUGCGAGCGUUAUCCGGAAUCAUUGGGCGUAAAGCGCCUGUAGGUUGUUUAAUAAGUCUGUUGUUAAAGACUAGGGCUUAACCCUAGAAAAGCAAUGGAAACUACUAGACUAGAGUAUGGCAGGGGUAGAGGGAAUUUCUAGUGUAGCGGUGAAAUGCGUAGAUAUUAGAAAGAACACCGGUGGCGAAAGCGCUCUACUGGACCAUUACUGACACUCAGAGGCGAAAGCUAGGGUAGCAAAAGGGAUUAGAUACCCCUGUAGUCCUAGCCGUGAACGAUGGAUACUACAUGUUGUGCAUUAUGUACAGUAUGGUAGCUAACGCGUUAAGUAUCCCGCCUGGCGAGUACGCUCGCAAGGGUGAAACUCACAGGAAUUGACGGGGGCCCGCACAAGCGGUGGAGCAUGUGGUUUAAUUCGAUGCAACGCGAAGAACCUUACCAGGACUUGACAUACUACAAAUUCUUUUGAGAAAAAGAAGUGCCUUCGGGAAUGUAGAUACAGGUGGUGCAUGGCUGUCGUCAGCUCGUGUCGUGAGAUGUUGGGUUAAGUCCCGCAACGAGCGCAACCCUUAUUUUUAGUUACCAAUUCGUUGGGUUCUCUAGAAAGACUGCCGGUGACAAACCGGAGGAAGGUGAGGAUGACGUCAAGUCAGCAUGCCCCUUAUGUCCUGGGCUACACACGUGCUACAAUGGUUAAGACAAAGAGUCGCGAGCUCGUGAGAGUCAGCUAAUCUCAUAAACUUAGCCCAAGUUCAGAUUGUAGGCUGCAACUUGCCUACUUGA
rnacentral:rRNA from 1 species